rnacentral:rRNA from 1 species
UGCGCAGGCGGCCUGCUAAGUCGGAUGUGAAAGCCCCGGGCUUAACCUGGGAAUUGCAUUCGAUACUGGCAGGCUAGAGUCUGGUAGAGGUAAGCGGAAUUCCGGGUGUAGCGGUGAAAUGCGUAGAUAUCCGGAGGAACAUCAGUGGCGAAGGCGGCUUACUGGACCAAGACUGACGCUCAGGCACGAAAGCGUGGGUAGCAAACA